UGAUCCAUAUGUUUCCAUUUUACUUCAAUUUGCCCAAUUCUGUGGGUAGGUUUCCUGUUUCAUACACUUUCACUUGUAAUGGAUGCUUGUGAAGAGUUAGUACACAAGUCUUUCUUGCUGUCUGGUGUAAUGAUAGGUCCACCUAAUGACAUCAACUUUUCUUUGUUAUCUGCAAGGGCUUGAGAGUUUUGAAAGAACAGAUGCACCACAUCAGUGGGAAAAGUGAAAGUGUCAGUAUUUUCCAGUGAUUGCAGUUUUCUUACAUCCUCAUCUUCUACUUUCCCAACACAAAUUCUUGACAGUAAUUUUGAAAACUCAGGAUCUCCUUUCUGCAGAACAGUUCGAGUUAGUUCAUGCAGACAAAAUGGCUUCUUCCUAGCCUUGUCUUUUCUUCAUCUACUGACAUGUGCUUAUGUGAUCUUUCUUGAUGUGUCAACAUCUUCCUGGCUUUGUCCUUUCUCUAGGAGCUGCUAAUUUGGACACUGAUCUGAUUUCAUCCUCUGUUUAUUUUUAUGGUCCAAUUAG